rnacentral:rRNA from 1 species
CAGGUGGUCAGGUAGAGAAUACCAAGGCGCUUGAGAGAACUCGGGUGAAGGAACUAGGCAAAAUGGUGCCGUAACUUCGGGAGAAGGCACGCUGAUAUGUAGGUGAAGCGACUUGCUCGUGGAGCUGAAAUCAGUCGAAGAUACCAGCUGGCUGCAACUGUUUAUUAAAAACACAGCACUGUGCAAACACGAAAGUGGACGUAUACGGUGUGACGCCUGCCCGGUGCCGGAAGGUUAAUUGAUGGGGUUAGCGGUAACGCGAAGCUCUUGAUCGAAGCCCCGGUAAACGGCGGCCGUAACUAUAACGGUCCUAAGGUAGCGAAAUUCCUUGUCGGGUAAGUUCCGACCUGCACGAAUGGCGUAAUGAUGGCCAGGCUGUCUCCACCCGAGACUCAGUGAAAUUGAACUCGCUGUGAAGAUGCAGUGUACCCGCGGCAAGACGGAAAGACCCCGUGAACCUUUACUAUAGCUUGACACUGAACAUUGAGCCUUGAUGUGUAGGAUAGGUGGGAGGCUUUGAAGUGUGGACGCCAGUCUGCAUGGAGCCGACCUUGAAAUACCACCCUUUAAUGUUUGAUGUUCUAACGUAGGCCCCUUAUCGGGGUUGCGGACAGUGUCUGGUGGGUAGUUUGACUGGGGCGGUCUCCUCCUAAAGAGUAACGGAGGAGCACGAAGGUUGGCUAAUCCUGGUCGGACAUCAGGAGGUUAGUGCAAUGGCAUAAGCCAGCUUGACUGCGAGCGUGACGGCGCGAGCAGGUGCGAAAGCAGGUCAUAGUGAUCCGGUGGUUCUGAAUGGAAGGGCCAUCGCUCAACGGAUAAAAGGUACUCCGGGGAUAACAGGCUGAUACCGCCCAAGAGUUCAUAUCGACGGCGGUGUUUGGCACCUCGAUGUCGGCUCAUCACAUCCUGGGGCUGAAGUAGGUCCCAAGGGUAUGGCUGUUCGCCAUUUAAAGUGGUACGCGAGCUGGGUUUAGAACGUCGUGAGACAGUUCGGUCCCUAUCUGCCGUGGGCGCUGGAGAACUGAGGGGGGCUGCUCCUAGUACGAGAGGACCGGAGUGGACGCAUCACUGGUGUUCGGGUUGUCAUGCCAAUGGCACUGCCCGGUAGCUAAAUGCGGAAGAGAUAAGUGCUGAAAGCAUCUAAGCACGAAACUUGCCCCGAGAUGAGUUCUCCCUGACCCUUUAAGGGUCCUGAAGGAACGUUGAAGACGACGACGUUGAUAGGCCGGGUGUGUAAGCGCAGCGAUGCGUUGAGCUAACCGGUACUAAUGAACCGUGAGGCUUAACCUUACAACGCCGAAGGUGUUU